rnacentral:rRNA from 1 species
AUUGAACGCUGGCGGCAGGCCUAACACAUGCAAGUCGAGCGGAGCGGCGGACGGGUGAGUAAUGCCUAGGAAUCUGCCUGGUAGUGGGGGAUAACGUCCGGCAACGGGCGCUAAUACCGCAUACUAUCAGAUGAGCCUAGGUCGGAUUAGCUAGUUGGUGGGGUAAAGGCCUACCAAGGCGACGAUCCGUAACUGGUCUGAGAGGAUGAGCAGUCAAACGGGAACGGAGACACGGUCCAGACUCCUACGGGAGGAAGCAGUGGGGAAUAUUGGACAAUGGGCGAAAGCCUGAUACAGCCAUGCCGCGUGGGUGAAGAGGGUCUUCCGAUUGUAAAGCACUUUAAGUUGGGAGGCGUUACCAACAGAAUAAGCACCGGCUAACUUCGUACCAGCAGCCGCGGUAAUAC